GACGAACGCUGGCGGCGUGCCUAAUACAUGCAAGUCGAGCGAAUGGAUUAAGAGCUUGCUCUUAUGAAGUUAGCGGCGGACGGGUGAGUAACACGUGGGUAACCUGCCCAUAAGACUGGGAUAACUCCGGGAAACCGGGGCUAAUACCGGAUAACAUUUUGAACCGCAUGGUUCGAAAUUGAAAGGCGGCUUCGGCUGUCACUUAUGGAUGGACCCGCGUCGCAUUAGCUAGUUGGUGAGGUAACGGCUCACCAAGGCAACGAUGCGUAGCCGACCGGAGAGGGUGAUCGGCCACACUGGGACUGAGACACGGCCCAGACUCCGACGGGAGGCAGCAGUAGGGAAUCUUCCGCAAUGGACGAAAGUCUGACGGAGCAACGCCGCGUGAGUGAUGAAGGCUUUCGGGUCGUAAAACUCUGUUGUUAGGGAAGAACAAGUGCUAGUUGAAUAAGCUGGCACCUUGACGGUACCUAACCAGAAAGCCACGGCUAACUACGUGCCAGCAGCCACAGUAA
rnacentral:rRNA from 1 species